GCCAGCUUCAAAUAACAGAAGAGAACCAGAGUCUUAAGACAAUUUCAAAGUUCAUUUGGCAGGGUGAAACUCCAAAGAAUCUUGUCAAAAUACCUAUAUAAACAUGAGGGGAGACACCUCAAGCAUAUUCCACAGAGGUUUUCUGUGCAGUGUCUGAAAUAUUCAUGAAAAUACCUUCAAGAUGUUUGGGAAACAAGGAGGAAAAUACAUUAACCUUCAAACAAAUAGGCCAUGUGAGUGGGGUGUGCAGUGGUGAAGAAGAAAGCCUGCAUUUGAGACGGCAAGAUAUUUUGUGGCUUAAAUUACUUUAUUUGGCUACCUACUCACCAGUGAAGAAAACAUUUCAUACAACAACUAGCUGGCCAGAGGACAUGUUUUACACACAUACCUGUUCCCAGUAAAAAAUUUGUUCUUGGGGAACAGGACUGGAAAGAUGACUGCUUAUGGCUCUAGAGAGAUAAAUUGCUUGUCAGAUUAGACAAGCCUAGGCUAGAGGGACCAAUAGUCUGAUUCAGUAUCAGGCAGCUUUGUAUGUUUAUAAGUGAACUAGAACAAGAUGUUUAAUUUUGUCCUGCAGAUGACCAGCAACAUCUCAUUUUGGUCUGUCAUAGAAUGCAUUCAAACAAGCAUGAUUUUGAUGUCAUCUUUGCAACUACUGCUGGAUAGCCUAGUCACCUAGUCAUCACAUGGUGCUGUGCUGUCAGGUUUGGUGCUGCUUUUAGUCUCCUAAGAGCAGUAGCCAUCAAUAGGAAAAAUAAUGCCAUGUAACUUCAUAAGGCUAUUCACAGUUUUCAUGUGCAGCCCUGGGAUUGCUCCUGAUCCCGGCACUCCCACCCAACCUUACCCAACUUUUCACCCCAGCCUUUAGCCAGGGUUAAGGGUGUGAGCGUGCCCUUCACCCCGACACCAGAGUCAUGUGAGGCUGCAUGCAGCUUGAGUACGCACAGAGUUGGUUGCCUAGAGCGCCUGACUCCUAGCAGAAUCCCCCAAUGCACAUUGUGCAUUGUGGAAUGAUGCUGCCUUGCUUUGCACAGUUUUCUUGGUGUGCACAUUGCAACCACAAGGCAGUACCAAUCGCUUGGCUCUUUCUCACUUGACUGACAAACACCAGAGCAGAAAAGAAGAUUCCAAUCAGGUAGAAAAGGCCUCAAGCAUUUAGCUGAGAUUCAUGGUGGCAAUACUCACAGGACUGCAGGUGUGUAGGAGAGUAUAUCAGGAAAACAGAUCCCAGACAGCUCACUUUGUUUCUGAAGGAACCCUAAGGCUUAGUCUUUCAAACACUGGUGCACACACACGCACACAAACUGUACAUUUAACUUCAUCCCAGCCUCACACAAAAACAUAAAAAAACAAAGCAUCACAACACCCACUGAUAUGCUUUAAAGAAAAGGAAUAUGGUCUUCAGCAUGCAGUUUUAAACACAUGCCAACUCCAGCUAUUUCAGAUGCAGUGUUCCAGGGAUGGUGUCACAGGAUAUAUAUGAGACAAGCAAAAUGAUUCUUCUGCUGGUUGUGGGGGGGGGGUGUUGUUGGAAGUAUGAGAGUUAUAUUUGUAUUGUGUCUGCCCAAGCAUUAUUAACCCUUUACUUCCUCCUUUUCCCAUUCCUGUGAGGAAAAGGAGAAGAUUAUAAGCAUAUUCUCAUGUCUUUUUCUCUGUCUUGCUCUUUGCAACCUGUGUGUGAAAUAUCAACCAGCAAUCAGCGGUUUGCUGAAUUUUGUUUGCAGUUAGCAACCAACUAGAGGUUAUUAUGUGAAUGCAAGAGUCUUCUCUCAAUCUCUCCCUCUCCCUCUCCCUCCCUCUCUCUCUCUCUCUCUCCCCCCUACUAGCAUUCCUCUGGCAAAAAAAGAAGUGUGUGGGGUGGGGGUGGGGGUUUGCUUCCAAUGUCUAGAGAUAAAUUCUUUAAUCUCUCAUGCCUGAAGGUGUAAAAAAAUAAACUCAGACUGAACAGCUUACUCUAGAAUUAGUUUUGCUGAUGCAGCUUCUCUGCUUGUCCAUACUGAGCAGAAACUCAGGAAAUAGCAGUGCAACUCUCUUUAAUGUAGAAGUAACAAACAUCAUUCUU